CAGGGGUGAGGGGAGCAGCACUUCGGCAGGGAGGAGGCCCCGAAUGCCUGCGGAAACACUCAACAGCUUAAAAUACAACUAGCCCCGCGCGCCCGCCGGGUGCAGCUGCUGGGGGCAGGGCUGACAUCCUAGCCCUGUGCCCCGCCGGGCAGCGGCCCAGCCCCCGGAGCAGAGGUCGGCUGACAGCCCACUGGCGGGCAGCAGGGGAGCAGGCAGCAGGGGUGCAGAGCCCAGUGGAUGCAGGGAGGGAGCACCAAAGGAAGGUGUCUCCCAGAGGUGGGAGACAAAGGCACUGCAUCAGCAGCAGGAAGUGGAGGCCAAAGGAAGGACUACAGGCCCCAGGACACCCCAGCAGGGGACACAGCAGGAAGGAGGGGAUGGUUCUGAGACAAUGGUUUAUUCAGCCCCUUCCUUCCCAGUGUUGCCGUGCUGGUGCUUCAGGUCCAGAGCUGCCUCCGGACUUUUGUUGCGCUUCUGGGUUAUGAAACUUCGUUUAUCUGUGAUCAAACGCCAUCCAUAAUUAUCAGUUAAUUACCAUCUCUCCGUAGAUCAGCUUUGUGGCUUGGUGAGAGGUGCACCUCCCUCGCAGCCUAAGCUGCUGCUCUCAAGAACUUCCCGAGUGGGAGAAGGGGUCCAAAGGUCGUGCAAAAGAGCCGCUGAGCUGAUGCAAAGCCCCUACCUAAGCCGAGUAGGAGGUGGCGUGAUGCAAGACCUUCUGGGAUGGAGAGCAAGAGUCCGACCCUCUCCGCCCCUGCCAAGCCGACAACUCAGCCCGCUGGGGAAACUGCAGGCGGCUCGCGGGCUUCGAGUCCUGCAGAGACCCCAAACGAAGACAGCCACCCCCCACCGGCCCCCCGGGCUGGAGCGAUAGCACAGCGGGUAGGGCAUUUGCCUUGCACGCAGCCGACCUGGGUUCGAUUCCUAGCAUCCCAUAUACCAUCCCCGAGCACUGCCAUGAGUAAUUCCUGUGUGCAUGAAUCAGGAGUAACCCCUAUGUAUCGCCGGGUGUGAUCCAAAAAGGGCAAACAAACAAACAAACAAUAAAUAAAUAAAACGAAGACA